rnacentral:rRNA from 1 species
GAAAGAUUCAUCGGAAGAGGAUGGGCAUGCGGCGCAUUAGCUAGACGGCGGGGUAACGGCCCACCGUGGCGACGAUGCGUAGGGGUUCUGAGAGGAAGGUCCCCCACACUGGUACUGAGACACGGACCAGACUCCUACGGGAGGCAGCAGUGAGGAAUAUUGGUCAAUGGGAGAGAUCCUGAACCAGCCAAGCCGCGUGAGGGAAGACGGCCCUAUGGGUUGUAAACCUCUUUUGUCGGAGAACAAAACCCGGGACGUGUCCCGGACUGCGUGUAUCCGAAGAAAAAGCAUCGGCUAACUCCGUGCCAGCAGCCGCGGUAAUACGGAGGAUGCGAGCGUUAUCCGGAUUUAUUGGGUUUAAAGGGUGCGUAGGCGGUCCGUUAAGUCAGCGGUAAAAUUGCGGGGCUCAACCCCGUCGAGCCGUUGAAACUGGCAGACUUGAGUUGGCGAGAAGUACGCGGAAUGCGCGGUGUAGCGGUGAAAUGCAUAGAUAUCGCGCAGAACUCCGAUUGCGAAGGCAGCGUACCGGCGCCAGACUGACGCUGAGGCACGAAAGCGUGGGGAUCGAACAGGAUUAGAUACCCUGGUAAUCCACGCAGUAAACGAUGAAUGCUGGUUGUCCGGGUCGAAUGAGAUCUGG